rnacentral:sRNA from 1 species
AAUGAUUUAUAAACAUAUCAUAAAUAAGAUCAACAUUAAUAUAAAUAAAUGGUUUUUUACGGGACGGGUUUGGCGGGAUGGGUUUGGCAGGACGAUACUUAAUAACAAUUGUAAACUAUAAAAUAAAAAUAUAUUAUAGAUAGAUACAAUUUGCAAAAAAAAA